rnacentral:lncRNA from 1 species
AUUAUUCAGCCUAAUCAAUCUGUCCAUUUAGAUUUAUCUAGGUGAACAAAAAAAAGAAUCGAACCAAUAAGAUUGAGACUUGGCAAUGACCUUCUAAGUAAAAUUCAUAACUGAAGGAAUUGAAGGACAAAAUCACACAAGUCAAAAUGGAAAUUCAAAGUCUUUGUGCUAGAAUAGUGUUGCAAAUUCCAUUAUCCUAGUAAAUUCUCACAAUUUAAAAUUAGAGAUUGACAGACUCAUGGUGCUGGAACAUUGCAAAGCUUUCCGUGAUAAUGAAGCAGAACAAAUACUUAGCUCCUUAGACUCAUGUAAGAUUGAAAAGGGAAUUAUUUUUUUCACUUAUAAAUACUGCAGCACCUCCUUAGUGCUAGCUUUAUAAUACAAUUACCUCAUUCUCACAAAAAAGAUAAUGAAGCAGUGGAUACACUUCGUCACCCCAACCCCCGAAAGCAGAUCUCAUCCUACAAAACAAUGAUGGAAGACCCCUCACCCGCCAUUAGAAAAAUCUCAUAUAGCCAAGUGACAAAAGCAAACUCUCCCACGGGUCUCUCUCAAAGCUGAAACUCCAAAGGACUACUUCCACAUCAAAAAACCUUGUUUAAAGUAACAAAAUCUUGUAAGCUAAAACUCCAAAGGACUACUUCCACAUCAAAAAACCUCGUUUAAAGCAGCAAAAUCAAUUCACAACACCUCACUUUAGUGUAUGCAGGAAUCAAAAAGCAAGUUGCAGGUACAAAUUCCAUAGUGCCAGCUGACCCACCAAAGUUGGGCAUAGCCCAUUACAAUGUGAACAUUCUCAAAAGAAGAUAAAUCAAAUCUGUGUUCAACCACAUCAUUGAAUAUAAAAUGAUAUAAGAACCUAUAAGCUGGGCGCGUCCUUGUUCCUUUUUUCCCAUUUGAUGAAGGUAUCACAUUCUCAAAAGAAGAUAAAUUAAAUCAAAUCUGUGUUCAACCACAUCAUUGAAUAUAAGAUGAUAUAAGAACCUAUAAGCUGGCGUGUCCUUGAUCCUUUUUUCCCAUUUGAUGAAGGUAUCUAUAAGGCUUGGGGNNN